rnacentral:rRNA from 1 species
UACGGGGGGGGCAAGCGUUGUUCGGAAUUACUGGGCGUAAAGGGCUCGUAGGUGGCCAACUAAGUCAAACGUGAAAUCCCUCGGCUUAACCGGGGAACUGCGUCUGAUACUGGAUGGCUUGAGUUUGGGAGAGGGAUGCGGAAUUCCAGGUGUAGCGGUGAAAUGCGUAGAUAUCUGGAGGAACACCGGUGGCGAAGGCGGCAUCCCUGGACCAACACUGACACUGAGGAGCGAAGCCAGGGGAGCAAACGGG